GAUUUAAAUGACAUUUUUCU
rnacentral:snRNA from 1 species